rnacentral:tmRNA from 1 species
GGGGCCGACUGGAAUUGACAGUAUGUGCAAUGCGAGUGUAAGCAUGCAGGGAGUUGUUAGUAUUUCCCUUAAAUAAAACUUUCAUCCUUUUAAUUGGCGAAAGACAAUACGCCCUUGCUGCCUAAUUAGUAUUAGAUAGCAAUGUGUCUCUCUCACCCCUCGUUCUGCCGGGUGGGAAUGUGAGACAUCAUCAUGCAGAACUAGCGUAAGUGGUUGUCGUGACAUUUACGUAAAAUUAAUCGCGGAUAAGGUUUGGAUUAGGGUGGUUGCUGUCCUUAACAAACUCGAAAAUUAAUCAGCGAAUAAGCAUGUAGAAGGCACUUAGUGUUCCUNNNNNNNNNNGGACGUGGGUUCGAAUCCCUCCGGCUCCACAA